rnacentral:lncRNA from 12 species
CCUGUGCCAUGUCAGGUGUUCACACAGCUUCAGCAGCGAUUCUCAUUGCCGUACUGAAAAUGGUAAAGCACCCCGUUGUCAUCUUCCUCUCUCAUGGCUAAGGAGAUUUGGAAACAUUUGUACUGCAGUGAAACAAGCCAUGGUGAUAUUUGAAUGCAGCAGCCUAUAAAACACAUAGAAAAUGAAAUUAUUUUGUUUCUUGCAUAAAGCAGCCUGGGAAGGAUCAAGCCUAAAGGUAAGC